rnacentral:misc_RNA from 1 species
UAACGCACCUUGCACUCCUUGGUAUUCCGAGGAGUAUGCCUGUUUGAGUGUCAUUAAAUUCUCAAACCUCACUAGUUUUGCGACUUGUUGAGGCUUUGGAUGUGGGGGUUGCUGGCUUUCACGAGUCAGCUCUCCUUAAAUGCAUUAGCGGUUACUGUUCGCUACAUCCUGGUGUGAUAAUAUCAACGCCUAGUAGUGAUGUUAAGUGUAGCUGCUUCAAACCGUCUGAGAAUUCGGACAAUCUGAACCAUUUGACCUCAAAUCAGGUAGGACUACCCGCUGAACUUAAG